rnacentral:rRNA from 1 species
GCAUAUCAAUAAGCGGAGGAAAAGAAACUAACAAGGAUUCCCCUAGUAACUGCGAGUGAAGCGGGAAAAGCUCAAAUUUAAAAUCUGGCAGUCUUUGGCUGUCCGAGUUGUAAUCUGGAGAAGCGUCUUCCGCGCUGGACCGUGUACAAGUCUCCUGGAACGGAGCGUCAUAGAGGGUGAGAAUCCCGUCUUUGACACGGACUACCAGUGCUUUGUGAUGCGCUCUCAAAGAGUCGAGUUGUUUGGGAAUGCAGCUCAAAAUGGGUGGUAAACUCCAUCUAAAGCUAAAUAUUGGCGAGAGACCGAUAGCGAACAAGUACCGUGAGGGAAAGAUGAAAAGCACUUUGGAAAGAGAGUUAAACAGUACGUGAAAUUGCUGAAAGGGAAACGCUUGAAGUCAGUCGCGUUUGCUAGGACUCAGCCUUGCCUCGGCUUGGUGCACUUCCUAGUAAACGGGCCAGCAUCACUUUUGGCUGCGGGAAAAAGGUCAGAGGAAUGUGGCACCUUCGGGUGUGUUAUAGCCUCUGGCUGCAUACCGUGGCUGGGAGUGAGGAACUCAGCACGCCUUACGGCGGGGCUUCGGCCACCUUCGUGCUUAGGAUGCUGGCGUAAUGGCUUUAAACGACCCGUCUUGAAACACGGACCAAGGAGUCUAACAUGCCUGCGAGUGUUUGGGUGGAAAACCCGAGCGCGUAAUGAAAGUGAAAGUUGGGACCUCUGUCGUGGAGGGCACCGACGCCCGGACCAGACCUUCGGUGACGGAUCUGCGGUAGAGCAUGUAUGUUGGGACCCGAAAGAUGGUGAACUAUGCCUGAAUAGGGUGAAGCCAGAGGAAACUCUGGUGGAGGCUCGUAGCGAUUCUGACGUGCAAUCGAUCGUCAAAUUUGGGUAUAGGGGCGAAAGACUAAUCGAACCAUCUAGUAGCUGGUUCC